rnacentral:rRNA from 1 species
ACUGAACGCUGGCGGCAUGCCUUACACAUGCAAGUCGAACGGCAGCACGGGUGCUUGCACCUGGUGGCGAGUGGCGAACGGGUGAGUAAUACAUCGGAACGUACCUUAUCGUGGGUGAUAACGCAGCGAAAGUUGCGCUAAUACCGCGUACGCCCUGAGGGGGAAAGCGGGGGACCGUAAGGCCUCGCGCGAUUAGAGCGGCCGAUGUCUGAUUAGCUUGUUGGUGAGGUAAAAGCUCACCAAGGCGAUGAUCAGUAGCUGGUCUGAGAGGACGAUCAGCCACACUGAGACUGAGACACGGCCCAGACUCCUACGGGAGGCAGCAGUGGGGAAUUUUGGACAAUGGGGGCAACCCUGAUCCAGCAAUGCCGCGUGAGUGAAGAAGGCCUCCGGGUUGUAAAGCUCUUUUGUCAGGGAAGAAACACCGGCUCUAACACAGUCCGGGAAUGACGGUACCUGAAGAAUAAGCACCGGCUAACUACGUGCCAGCCGCCGCGGUAA